rnacentral:rRNA from 1 species
AUGUCAAAUCAUCAUGCCCCUUAUGUCUUGGGCUACACACGUGCUACAAUGGCGCAAACAAAGUGAGGCAAAACCGCGAGGUAGAGCGAAUCACGAAAAGGCGCCUCAGUUCGGAUUGCAGUCUGCAACUCGACUGCAUGAAGUUGGAAUCGCUAGUAAUCGCGAAUCAGCAUGUCGCGGUGAAUACGUUCCCGGGCCUU